rnacentral:tRNA from 1 species
GGGGUUGUGGCUCAGCGGUAGAGCACUUGCCUAGCACAUGCAAGGGGGCUGGGUUUGAUCCUCAGCACCA